UCUCUUUUUAUCUCAAAACUUAAUGUGUUUUCUAUCUUUUGCGUUAUUUUGCCGGUUAUUAGCGCCCUCAUCACUUUAUACGUAAAAUAUUAACUGUAAAUCGUUUGUUCCCUUUUUGAUUUUAGCAAUAAAAAGGAUUUGUAAUGUUUUUGAAAACAUCGCAUUUUUAAACUGUGCAUGUUAUAAUGAAUGUUUCAGCCAUGAUCCAGGCAUCUCUUCUCCUGCUAGAAACAGCGGUUUUCUCAAAAGAAAGGUUUACAUUAGUCAUGUCUAAAUGUUUCACUCGCUAGUUUCUUAUGAUGGCACUGGAUGAUUCCCGGGAUGAUGUCAAGGUGAAUGGCGUAAACAUCAACUGCAUCAAAUGCAGGAGCAACUUAAUCUGUAAGCAAUUCGUCAUGAAAAUAAACAUUA
rnacentral:lncRNA from 1 species